UUUUCUGAUCCAAGACCUACUUGUGCGGUGAUUUUCUGGAUUUGCUGUUCAUUUAUCCUGGGCUGGCAGCCUGGGCAACCACAGGCACAGAGGUUGAUCCCCGGUGCGGUCUUACCAUCUACAUAUAUAUGGAAAAAUGUCCUCUCACUUUAGGUUUGUGUAACACUGAUUGUGACAAAGAUUACAGGGCUGAUGACAUCAUAACUGCAGAUAGAAUGUUUAGCCAAGUGCACAGGUUACAAUUUCAUUCGCUCACUAGGGAUCAGCAGAGUCACUUGUGAUAGGUCACUGUCCAUUGCUGUAGUUUUCUAGUGACUUUAUCUUCUUUGUCAUGCUCAUAAAAUGUAGGCAAAAGGGAAGAAAAUUCAUUUAGUAGAGGAAGAGGAAAUAAGAAGAAAGAUGAGCUGAGACCAGAACAGUGAAAAUGAUUUUCAGGAGCCACCUAGUACAGAUGAGAUACCAAGAAAGAGCAAGUUAUUGGCGUUCCUGGAGAAUAUCUGGGCCCGGAUGACCUGUAAGAGUAUGACAGUAAAGAAAAGAGCCUACCCACACCCGGCAUCUGAUGGAUGGCACAGCAGCCAUUUUAACUGCCAUCCUAAAGACAGAUUGAAGACCAGUCCAGUGCCAGUCCUGAGUCCCCCCCGCCAUUUGUAUGGAGACAAUCCUGCUUCUCUCUGCUUCCUGUUUCUGUAAUUUAAGGUGAACAUAGAUGGCGCACAGGUUUUGGGCAGUGUUGGCACAGAGAAAUGAUGCAAGUAUCGAUGAAAUUUUACCACUAACAUAAAGUAGAAUAUGUCACGAAAAAACAAUCUCGGAAUCAGAAUGAAAGGCAAAAGGGAAGAAAAUUCAUUUAGUAGAGGAAGAGGAAAUAAGAAGAAAGAUGAGCUGAGACCAGAACAGUGAAAAUGAUUUUCAGGAGCCACCAAGUACAGAUGAGAUACCAAGAAAGAGCAAGUUAUUGGCGUUCCUGGAGAAUAUCUGGGCCCGGAUGACCUGUAAGAGUAUGACAGUAAAGAAAAGAGCCUACCCACACCCGGCAUCUGAUGGAUGGCACAGGUAGGACAUCAUAAUUUUAGGGCCCAGUCACCCUGCAUUGCACUUCAUCCAUGCUACCAUUGUUAUCACCUUUCAUUUAAUUUUUCGGGAAUAUGCAGUGACCAGAAAUCAUUAGAUCUGGCACUGGGUAUUUAUUUUUGUUUAUGGAGUUCGAUGUGCAGCAUAAAUAAUGUUAUUUUUAAAUACCAUGGGCUUUUUUUGCAUAAAGGGAUUCCAAUUCUGGAACUUUUUUUUAGCCUUUUUGCUUUUUAAGUUUUUAAUCCUCCUGAACUGCACACGGCUGUCAACUGUUAAAAUCAGCUAACAACCCAGGAGUAUAGAGAAGGCUUAGCUCCUAUGCAUAUGCCCCUGUGAGCAUUGGGCAUACUAUAUAUGGAGAGAGAGAGAGAGAGACAUGUAUUGAACAUUUAUAGGAUAUAUCACCAGUGCCCACACCCUUCUGAAGACCCUAGCUGCUGUAAGCAAACACUGGAUUGAACCAUUGGCUGGUGGGUAAAUAAAAGAACAUUAAACAGUGGGAAAAUGCAUGAAUACAAAAUGAAAAGAGAGUAAGAAAAUAAAAUACUUUCACAAUUUUCAUGUUUUAAUCAUACAGCUGCCUACCUUAUCAUUUUUUUACUGUGUGCUUUGGGACAGUUUAUCUGUUCUUGUAGUGGUACAGUCCGCUGUUGUUUACUGAGCUUGGUGUGGUUGCUAUGACAACCUCUAUACUGCAGCAGCCAUUUUAACUGCCAUCCUAGAGACAGCUUGAAGACUAGUCCAGUGCCAGUUCUUUGUGUCCCCCCAGUUUUAUGGAGACAACACUGCUUCUUUCUGCUCCCUGUUUUUGUAAUGUAAGGUCAACACAGAUGGCACACAGGUUAGGCAGUGUUGGCACAGAGGUGAGCACUGUGUACCAAAUAUUCCAGACCAAGUAUGUGCAGCCAUCUUGCCUAAAUGUCUAUUGAAGUAAAACAGUGAAAGAUACUUCUUCUAGGAAUUAGUAGGGGCCCAGUGGUCAGAAUCCCACCAAUCAGAUAUUUUGGACUAAUCUAAUGCAUCUGUCAUAAUUGUCUUCACAAUGUCUUAUGUGAUUCCUUUAAACGUAUAUGUUGUGCACCAUUUGUUUACACUGCUUCAUUUGAGGCUAUAUUUUAUGGGAUUUCUUAGAAAUGUUUGCACAUUAUUAAAUGCAUACAUUUCUGAAAGAUAAAUCUUCCACCAGAGCAGAGUAGGGAUUAUAAGGAUUUAUACAGGUUCACUGUGAAAGUAUAAUCAAAACUAGUUAAAAGAAAAGCAGUUGCCCAUAGCAACCUGUUAAACACAAGUUGUCAUUUCUCAGUGGCUAAUGCCAGCUGUCACUUCUGCUUGCACAAAUUUCAAUAAAUGUCCCCUGGUUAGUCUGUAUGAGGCUGUAUCCAGUUUGCUCUCUCUGGUGGUUGACUUGUCUUUCAGAAAUAUAUGUAUCUAAGGCAAUCUGUCAGGUAAAACAGAUCAGUGGGUACAGAGGAAAGAAUUAUAGCCUCUAUGCAGGAGGAGUGUCCUGAUUAAUUACAUAGCAGAUCAUGAUCAGUCCUAUCGAUUACCCUGUGACCUUGGAGGCACGCUCUCUUCCUAGGUCCUACUUACAACCACUAAGUAAUACCUGUCACAAAAUUGUGAUUGUAUAGAACUGCAUGGGAAUGCAGUUUAACCCCUUAAGGACACAGGGCGUACAGGUACGCCCUGAUGUCCUGGUACUUAAAGGGGUUAUCCAGGAAAAAAAAUGUUUUCAUAUAUCAACUGGCUUCAGAAAGUUAAACAGAUUUGUAAAUUACUUCUAUUAAUUUUUUUUUAAUUAUUUCAGUACUUAUGAGCUGCUGAAGUUGAGUUGUUCUUUUCUGUCUAAGUGCUCUCUGAUGACACCUGUCUAGGGAACUGU